GCUAGCGGCGCGCUUAACGCAUGCAAGUCGAGCGAUGAGGCUCCCUUCGGGGAGUACAUCAGCGGCAGACGGGUGAGUAACACGUAGAUAACCUGCCCUCAAGACGGGGACAACCGGUGGAAACAGCGGCUAAUACCCGAUAUGCUCACAGGAUCGGGAGAUCGAGUGAGGAAAGCGCCCCUUCGGGGGAGAGUGUUUGAGGAGGGAUCUGCGGCCCAUCAGCUAGUUGGUGAGGUAACGGCUCACCAAGGCGAAGACGGGUAGGGGGUGUGAGAGCAUGGCCCCCCACAAUGGGACUGAGACACGGCCCAUACUCCUACGGGAGGCAGCAGCGGGGAAUAUUGCGCAAUGGACGGAAGUCAGACGCAGCGACGCCGCGUGGGUGAGGAAGGCCUUCGGGUUGUAAAGCCCUUUUCAGGGGAGCGAGAAAGGACGGUACCCUUGGAAUAAGCGUCGGCUAACUACGUGCCAGCAGCCGCGGUAAGACGUAGGACGCAAGCGUUAUCCGGAUUUACUGGGCGUAAAGCGCCUGUAGGCGGUCAAGUAAGUCGGAUGUGAAAGCCCCGUGCUCAACGCGGGGAAGCCAUUCGAUACUGCGUGACUAGAGAACGGCAGAGGGAAACGGAAUUUCUGGUGUAGCGGUAAAAUGCGCAGAGAUCAGAAAGAACACCGAUGGCGAAGGCAGUUUCCUAGGCCGCAUCUGACGCUGAGAGGCGAAAGCUAGGGGAGCAAACAGGAUUAGAGACCCUGGUAGUCCUAGCUGUAAACGAUGGAUGCUAGGUGUGGGCCGGAAAGGUCCGUGCCGUAGUUAACGCGAUAAGCAUCCCGCCUGGGGAGUACGGCCGCAAGGCUUAAACUCAAACGAAUUGACGGGGACCCGCACAAGCAACGGAGCGUGUGGUUUAAUUCGAUGCUACACGCAGAACCUUACCUGGGCUUGACAUGUAGGUGGUAGUGAAGUGAAAACGGAACGACCCUUCGGGGAGCCUACACAGGUGCUGCAUGG
rnacentral:rRNA from 1 species